UACAACUCUUAGCGGUGGAUCACUCGGCUCGUGAGUCGAUGAAGAACGCAGCCAGCUGCGAGAACUAAUGUGAAUUGCAGGACACAUUGAUCAUCGACACU
rnacentral:rRNA from 5 species